rnacentral:rRNA from 1 species
AUACCAGCUCCUAUAGUGUAUGCUAAAGUUGUUGCAGUUAAAAGGCUCGUAGUCAAAUUUUGGUCCUGUCGAACCUUUACUAUACUCUUGUAGUAUAUGUUAAAGUGUGCGACGACCAUUUUUCUGGAUAGCUAUUCUCUCCUUCACUGGGUGGUUGUGUGAACCGGAUCAUUUACUGUGAGACAAUCAGAGUGUUCAAAGCAGGCAUUUAUGUCUGUAUGUUUCAGCAUGGAAUAAUAAGAUAAGACUUUGGUUUCAUCUUGUUGGCUGUGAUAACUAAAGUAAUGAUUAAUAGGGAUGAUUGGGGGUGUUAGAAUUUAGUGGUUAGCGGUGAAAUGCGUAGACCCACUAAAGACUAUCUUAUGCGAAAGCAUUCACCAAGGACAUUCUCUUUGGUCAAGAACGAAAGUUGGGGGAUCGAAGACGAUCAGAUACCGUCGUAGUCUCAACUAUAAACUAUGCCAACUGGAAAUUGGCAGACGUAAAUCAUAUACCCUGUCAGAAUCCUAUGGGAAACCAAAGUUUUUGGGUUCUGGGGGGAGUAUGGUCGCAAGGCUGAAACUUAAAGGAAUUGACGGAAGGGCACCACCAGGGGUGGAGCCUGCGGCUUAAUUUGACCCAACACGGGAAAACUUACCAGGUCCAGACUUAAUAAGGAUUGACAGAUUUCAGAUCUUUCUUGAUUCUAAGAUUGGUGGUGCAUGGCCGUUCUUAGUUGGUGGAGUGAUUUGUCUGGUUAAUUCCGUUAACGAACGAGACCUUUGCGUUCCAAUUUAACUGCUAUUACACUUGUGUAGUUGUAUGUUAUUUGAGGGACUAGCGAUUUUUCGUCGACGGAAGUUAGAGGCAAUAACAGGUCUGUGACCCCUUAGAUGUUCUGGGCCGCACGCGCGCUACACUGAUAGAAUCAACAAGUUUUAUUAAGCGGAGACGCUGAAGUAAACUUUUGAAAAUCUAUCGUGAUAGGGCUUGACAAUUGCAAUUAUUUGUCACAAACGAGGAAUCCCUAGUAAGCACAGUUCAUCAACUUGUACUGAUUACGUCCCUGCCCUUUGUACACACCGCCCGUCGCUCCUACCGAUUGAAUGUUCUGGUGAAGAUUCCUGAGUUAUGAUCUUGGUUUCUCACGAUUCCUUGAUCAAUUUCAACGUUAUCUUAGCCAUAACAUUUAGAGGAAGGAAAAGU